rnacentral:tRNA from 1 species
CCUCCGGUAGCUCAGCGGUAGAGCAGGGAUGGAAAAUCUCCCCGUCGUUGGUUCGAAUCCAGCCUGGAGGU